AUGUCUCCAGUCCAAGGGUCAACGCCUCCAGUCCAAUGGUCAACGCCUCCAGUCUCAGGGUCAAUGCCUCCAGUCUCAGGGUCGACGCCUCCUGUCUCUAAGUCGACGCCUCCUGUCUCGAGGUCGACACCUCCUGUCUCAAGGUCGACGCCUCCCGUCUCCAGCUCUGAAGUGGACGUUCCCGUCUCCAGCUCUGAAGUAGAGAUCUCCCCGUCUCAAGUCUCGACAUCCCCGUCUCAAGUCUCGACGUCUCAUGUGUUCCAGUCUCCCAAGUCUCAAGUGUUCCAGUCCCCUCAAGUGUUCCAGUCCUCUCAAGUGUUCCAGACCCCUCAAGUUUUCCAGACCCCUCAAGUGUCCCAGACCCCUCAAGUGUCCCAGUCUCAAGUGUCCCAGUCUCUCGAGUCCCAAGUGUUCUUUCUUUUGUUCUGGACUUUGUUCCAGUCUCAGUCCCUGCCUCCAGAGACUCUUCCUCAUCCGCUGAAGUCCCUUCCUCGUCCUCCUCCUCCAAAGCCCCCGAUCUCCAGGGUUUCCUGUUCCCGCCUCCUGGUUCCCCGUUGCCGGCGCCCAAGGCUUCCCUGCUCCCGCCUCCUGGUUCCUCGUCGCCGACCCCCGAGACUUCCCUGGUCCCGCCUCCUGGUUUCCCAUCGCCGGCCCCACAGAGUUUCCUGUUCCCAGCUCCUGGUUCCCCGUCGCCGGCCCCCGAGACUUUCAUGGUCCCGCCUCCUGGUUCCCCGUCGCCGGCCCCCGAGUCUUUCAUGGUCCCACCUCCUGGUUCCCCGUCGCCGGCCCCCGAGACUUUCAUGGUCCCGCCUCCUGGUUCCCCGUCCCCGGCCCCCGAGACUUCCCUGGUCCCGCCUCCUGGUUUCCCGUCGCCGCCCCCCCCAGUUUCCUGUUCCCGGCUCCUGGUUCCCCGUCGCCGGCCCCCGAGACUUUCAUGGUCCCGCCUCCUGGUUCCCCGUCCCCCGAGACUUCCCUGGUCCCGCCUCCUGGUUUUCCGUCGCCGCCCCCCCAGUUUCCUGUUCCCGGCUCCUGGUUCCCCGUCGCCGGCCCCCGAAACUUUCAUGGUCCCGCCUCCUGGUUCCCCGUUGCCGGCCCCCGAGACUUUCAUGGUCCCGCCUCCUGGUUCCCCGUCGCCGNGUAUAUUCGUAA
ensembl:lncRNA